GGAUAACUCCGGGAAACCGGAGCUAAUACCGGAUAGUUCCUUGAACCGCACGGUUCACGGAUGAAAGACGGUUUCUGCUGUCACUUACAGAUGGACCCGCGGCGCAUUAUCUAUUUGGGGGGGUAAUGGCUCACCAAGGCGACAAUGCGUAUCCCACCUGAGAGGGUGAUCGGCCACACUGGGACUGAGACACGGCCCACACUCCUACGGGAGGCGGCAGUAGGGAAUCUUCCCCAAUGGACAAAAGUCUGACAGAGCAACGCCCCGUGAGUGAUGAAGGUUUUCGGAUCGUAAAGCUCUGUUGUUAGGGAAAAAAAAGUGCGAGAGUAACUGCUCGCACCUUGACGGUACCUAA
rnacentral:rRNA from 1 species